rnacentral:lncRNA from 1 species
GACUGGUAUGGAUUUUAACUUGAUAUUCAGAGAUGAAUGAACUUUCUUGUACCCUGAUAUGAAAUAAUAAAAACAUUUCAGAAUGCAUGUAAGAAAGCAGGGAAGGAGAAUAUAUCCAUAAUUAGAUGACAGGAGAACUAUUGAGAAGCUAUUGAAAACUGAAAAAAAUUGUGACCCAAACUUUAGGAGCAAAGGAGACUUUAGAUUUGGCCAGUGAGCCCUUUGUUGGGAAGACAGGCUAAGAGCUAAUCCUAAAUUUUUCUAACCUACCAUGUGAGCUAAUUGAAUAGAGGCAGUUCACAGAAUAGAAGCCAUUUAGGAGGUUCAGAGAAUAUAAAAAGCAGAGGUGACAUCAACUGUGUUUCUUCUAAUUUCUUACCCCUGGAAGCAGAAUUGUCUCAGGACCAGAGAGACCUUGAUUGGAUGUGGCCAGAAAUGGGUGCAAUGACAGUGACUCUUUCUGGACCUUCGCUUCAUGGCUGCUUAGGUUCUUUAGCAAACAGCAAAGAUUCUUCCUUAUGGGCCAUCCCUAUGGGGGCUAACCAAAGCCCAUCACCCAUGUUACUUUCUUCAUCAAUGGAAGGUGAGUGAACGUGACAGAACUUUAAGAUCCGUUUUAUGGUCAGCUGCACAGACUCUUUUUCCUCUAUUGUGAGGCCAACAAUAUCCCAGAUAAAGGCCACUCCUUAACUCAAAUCCCUGAGUGAAUGCAAUUUGGAGCAGGGAAACAACCUCCCUG